GAAGGAAGUUCAUUUUGAUGAGAGGUGAUCAAACCCGGGCUGUAGGAACCUUAGGGAUUCCACAGACAUUAGAGUACUUUUGCCAGCAAAUACCUUGCCUGGAAAAGACUUCUCUUAUUGAUUUUAUGUGUCAGACAUGCUAAAGAGCUGGGCAAGAUUUUUUUGCUUGGAAAAAACAAUAAAGAUUUUCACUGAUUUUAAAAGAAAGACCAGAAAAGUGUUGGAUAUGAUUGCUGUGCAUUUAAAAAUCUAAACAGUGUGCACUUAAACUGUAGUAGAUUCUCAAAGAUUAGGACUGGGAGAACUCCGGGGAAGAAGACCUGCUUCCUGUUUCCCAGGCUGUACACUGUGGUUGUUGUUUCCUCAAGACUCUUAUUAUCCUUCCGGGUGUGGCCAGAGAGCCUGGCAGUCUUCUUCUCAGGGGCCUUCCUCCCUCAAUGCCAGGAGCAGGGCCCAGCCCAGGUGAUGAGGCAGCUGAAAGCGGGGGCCCCAAGGCCCCCCACUGGGUGUGAGGUAGGUGUGCCGGGAAAGCCUCCUUUGGGAGGGGACAGAGGCUGGGAAGGUAGGUUGGGGGUGGUGCGUGGUGGGAAUGGAGUGAGGGGACGGAAACUCGAGAUGGGCUCAGGAACCCGAAGCCUGGACACUGUCCCUUGGGGCCUGUGGCCUACUGGAGAGACUGCUAACCUCUGGUGGAAAUGUUUAUUUUUCUGCUCAGACUCCUGGCAUCCAAUCCAGGCCAGUGGCAGGGGCUGUUGGGAUUCUGAAACAGGAACUGGGACAAGAAGACGGAGGAGCUGUCACAGGCCCAGGCUGAGUGAGGACGCACAGUGCCAGCAUGUCCCACACUCCCUGCCACCCUGGGGCCAGGGAAAUGCAUCCCGUGUGAACAGUCCUGCCAGCCACAACAAGCCGCCUGGGUUCAUGCCCCGCUGGGGACAUGGGCCUGCGUCACUCCAAUUGUCCUGGCCACCCAAGUCAAACAAAUGAGAUUUGGGUUCUUUAAGAUCAGAUUUGGAUGCAAACCAAACCAGGAAUCUGCCUCUGGGGAGAGCACUAGGAUUGGGGACAGAGGCCAAGGGGGCUUUGAGCUUUCUCUGCAAUGUUCUUUUUUUUUUUUUUUUGCAAGGAAAAUUUAUUUAUGAACUUGAGUAAUAACAAUAACAAAUAUUAAGUUUUUGUUAAAGAUCAGACUUGAAGAGCUUACUGUAAAAAUAUCUGUUAUCUUACAAGAGACUCCAAACACGUUUCUUUUCAGACAUGGGGGUGGGGGGCUGCCUGGGUCAGACUGUGCUCCCACCUCGCCAAAUGGUUUGGAAUCAGAUCUGGCUCCCUGGGCCUCAGUUUCCCCAUCUGUACCACAGGGAGAUGAACCCGGUAGUCUCCGAGGUCCUUCCAGCCCUGAUAUCAGGAGACGAGAAGCUUCGCCGUGUGAACAGCAAACAGCCUGUUGUCUGGGUUCCUCUGGCCUGCUCCGUCACGGGGAGGCUCCCCAUAAGAUGCUGCGUCCUCUGAGACGGAAGCCCUCGAAGCCUCGGGCUGUUGAUUUGGAAGUGGUCCCAGGGCCAUGGGGCAACAGGAGAGCACCCCUGGGGCUCUUUGGGCAGGUGAGUUGAGCUGCCUUCCUGGGGAGAGUUAAGCCAGGCCCCAGAAAGCCUUUGGAGUCCCCCAGCCUCAGGGCAGUCAGACCAAUGGCUGGCAUCGCAGGGAGGUUAGUCAUGUCUCUCUCCGAGCUUGGGAUUGAAAAGCCAUGACCCGUGUGGGUCGUUAAGACAGAGAUGGUCUGGUUAGGGACACUGGCCCAGUGACCCUGCCCCUGGCACCAGUCACUAUGACAACAGCUCAAUAGGGUCCCAAGGGCCUAAGAAUCCUGGUUCUACUGAAAGCGAGGUUGGCUGAGGUCAGACAAAGAGGGAUUAAUAGAGCCCUGUUCUCGUUAAGCCACAAAGCAGCAUUAUUACAAGUCUCAACGGCCCUACCAGGAGACGCAUCAUGCUUUCAAGUCACAGAGAGCCCAGUACACUAAAGAGAACGGCUCCAGCAUCAGCCUCAAAGUCACCCUGGAGCCCAGAAUCAGAGGGGCAGGAGAAAAACUAGAAACAACCCAAAUGUCCAAGAGACAGUUACAUAAGGCAUCAUACAGCUGAACGAGAACGCAGGUGCAGUCAUUCAAAUGAGGAUGCUGGUUACGUGUAUUACAGGAAAGUCCUCACAAUACACAGAAACAAGGUAACAAAAACUGCCGAUAAGAUUUGGUAAAAAAAAUCACAUACAUAGUAAAAACAUUUCAAAAUGUUAGCCCUUUGGAAAGUGGGAUCAUGUAUAAUUAAUUUUCUUUUGGUUUCUCUGUGUUUUCUAUAGUGAACAAAAAUUUCUCUUGCAUUUCUAAAAACUUUUAUUUUCUUAAAAAUCGGUGCAGAGAAUUAGAGGCUGGUCAUUCUUUCCCUCUGUAAUCAAACUUCAGUUAACAAAAUGCACGAGAGGGCAUUGUUUGGAGAGUCAAAUUUUCUUUAUAAGUAAUAUUUUAUUAAUCCAAGAAAAAAAUACUUUUUAAAAAAUUUGUCUUACAUUAACCAAUGUGUAAGAAAAUUAUUCCAAACAGUACUGCAUAUUCUCAUGCCUUCUUACAACAAGAGUACAAAGAAAAGAAUUUGACAUUGUGAAGGGUCCAAAUUCUACCACAUUAAAUAAUAGGCUGGUUUCAUGGCCACUGGAUGAGCAGAAGUGUUUGUGCCUGUGUAAAUGGCCUCAGAUUACUCCUCCUAUAGAGCAGCUGGAUUUUCUUUUCAUAAUUGUUCAAUCUCUUCCGCUGCUGAUAAAUUGUCAGUCUCAGCAUCUAGCCCGUUGCAACUCUUUUCCAGUCUUUCUAAUUUGGUCCUUCUAAUCUUCUGUUGUCUUGGAAAAAACACACAUAUUUGUUAGAAGUGUGAGCAAACUAACAGAACACAGAUCUGAGAGAGGGCUGCAAAGUGGAGACACUGGCAAGCUGAGAUGCAGAGUGGGGAGGUGUUCAAAAUGAAUGGCCCUUGUAGGUGGGAGUUAAAUCAUGAAAUAGCACGCAAGUCAUGUUGAAGAGUUUGGGUUUUAUCCUGAGGGCAACUGGGAGCUUUGGAAGAAUUCAAGAAGGACGACACAGGGCAACUACAGGAGGGAAAAAGUAAAGAUGGAAGCCACACCGAGGAGGAGAGAGAAGCUUUCGAUGAUGAACCAAGAACGUCAUAGAGUUGGAAUCCUACAGUAUGUAACCUUUUCAGAUCGGCCUUGUUCACUUGGUAAUAUGCAUUGCUGGGAAAGCUGUACGAGGUCUGGAGCGCGGGGCAUCCCGGGAUCAGCUCCCUGCUGCCACAACCCCACUGGUGUUAUUAGUAUCCUCAUCAGAAUGACGUCUUUUCCAGCAGCUUGUUUCUAGCACGUUUCUGAGUUUCUACAGCCCAUCCAGAUCUAGGCCCCUGGUCACAUCCCAGAGCCACCCCCACCACAGACACAAGGCCCCUCAGUGCCAGGCCCCCUUGGUGGAUCUCAAAUGGUUUUGCAUGAGCCCCACCCCACAUAAGGCAGCAGAAGCAGGCUCUUACCCUAUUCGGCAGAUGGGCAGGCUGUGGCUCAGAGAAGCUGAGUGGCUGGCAUAAAAUGGCACAGGAUCUCCUCUACAACCACCUACAACCACCCUCCAUACAGCAAGCCCCUCAGCUUCCCUUUCCACCCAAAGGUCUGGCUCCCACUCUUGGAUGAAGAGAAGGAGCGUCUGAACCCAAAAUUCCUUACAGCACAAUAGACAACUGAAAAACAACUCAACAGAAUUUUAAUUAUUCACAGAAAACGUGUACUGUGUACAAGGUAUUGACCAAAGAACUUUAUAAAUACUAACUCAUUUUCUCCUUAUAACUACCUUAAUGAAGCAGGUACAAUUAUUAUCCCCAUUUUAUAGGUGAGGAAACUGAGGCAGGGAGAGAGUAACUGGCCCAGGGCCACACAGCUAGGAGGCCAGAGAGCCGGCAGUGGCCCACACUUUUAGACACUGCACUCUGCUACCUGCGGAUUUUUUGUUUGUACCAUUUUCCAGUUAUUAAUUUUUAAACAGUUUUAUUGAGGUAUAAUUUAAUGGUGUAAUUUAACUUAAGAUUUACCCAUUUUAAGUGUACAAUUAAAUGAUUUCAGUUAAUUUAUAGAAUUGUGCAACCAUUAUAACGAACCAAUUUUGGCACAUUUCCAUCAUCCCAGAAAAGAUCCUUUAUGUCCACUUCCUGUCACUGUUUCAACCUCCAGCCUGAGGCAACCACUAAUCUACUUUCUGUCUCUGUAGAUUUGCCUCUUCUGGAAACUUCAUAAUAAUGAAGUCAGAGAAUGUUGGGUCUUUUGAGUCUGUUUUUGAGGUUGAUCCCUGGGGUAGCAUGUGUCAGCACGUCAUUCCUUUUCAUUGCUGACUAAUAGUCUGUCGUGUGGCUAUCCCACAUUUUGUCUAUCCAUUCACCAGCUGAUGGAUUUUUUUGGUUGUUUCCACUUUUUGGCCGUGAUGAAUAAAG